AUGAAUACAUCGUUGGAUAAACCCUUUGAACCGGAAGAGAUGCACAAGGCACUGUUUCAAAUGGCGCCAUCUAAGGCGCCAGGGGUCGACGGCUUCACUGCAGGCUUCUUUCAGAAGCAUUGGAAACUACUGCGUGAUGAUGUAACUACUGCAGUGCUGAGCUUUUUGAAUGGUGAAUUCAUGCAGGCUUCAACUCCAAGAUCCUCCUCGGCCACCUGGAGAGCGAUUAUAGCUGGGCGGGAAGCACUUGCCAUCGGUCUCAUCAAGCGUGUGGGGGAUGGAUCCACCAUCUCUAUAUGGGAUGAUCGCUGGAUCCCCUCGACCACCACCUUGGCUCCCUUAUUCCGUCCUCCCAACGCGAAUGUUACCAUGGUCAGUGAGCUGAUCGAUGAGGAUAACUGGACGUGGAGAAGGGAACUAAUUCAAGGAAACUUCAUUCUCCCAGAUGCAGAAGCGAUCCUGAAUAUUCCUUUGCGCAAUGGUGGAGGUGCGGAUUUCCUAGCAUGGGCGCAUGAAGCUUCAGGCAACUAUACCGUCAAGUCAGCGUACCGAGCUCUAAUGACUCGUAACGAGCGUCAAGCUCCAGAGGAAGGGCAGGCUACCGGUUCUUCAAUUGACAAUCAACGGUUGUGGAAAGCUCUCUGGAAGCUGAAUGUUCUACCCAAAGUUAGGGUCUUCUUCUGGCGAGUACUACGGGGCAUCCUUCCGGAUGAAUGCACCUUGGUAUAUCGUCAUAUAAGGCAACAGAAACUGUGCCAAAUUUGUUUGGCCAAAGAUGAGGAUGUCGCGCAUGCACUGAUGGAAUGCUCACAUGCAAAACAAUUCUGGGACGAGGCGCAGCAACUGCUGGACUUCCAUAUGCCUAGACUGCAUCCAUCGACAUGGGCCAAGGACAUUGCAUGUGAUGAGCAAUUCUCCUCCAGAGAUAGGGCUGUUAUUGUCUCGGUCAUGUGGGCCAUCUGGCACUCACGGAACAGGCUAACGCAUGGAGAAGAAAGGCUCGAUCCGGUGAACUCAGUACGCCGGACAAGGGAGACGCUGGCACUUUUGGAUAUACCCCGCCAGCAAGCCCCGGUGAUGCCGGGUCAUGGAUGGCGGCCACCUGACCCUGGCUUUGUCACGAUCAAUACUGACGCUGCUAUCAAGCGUGAAGACGGCAAGGGAGGAGCCGUCGGUGUUGCCCGCUCCCCUGACUCUUUUCUGGGGGCCUGGAGUAAACCCUACCCCGGAAUUACGGAUCCUCUUAUAGCUGAGGAAAUGGCGGCGCGGGAUGGUGUUAUCUUCGCAAGCUUAAGAGGUUUUUCAAACGUCAUCUUGGGGACGGAUUGCCUGGAGGUUGCCAACCUCUGGACCACUCGCCACGACUCUCGUUCGAUUGUGGCUCCUAUUUUAUUAGAGAUUGGAGAUCUUACUGCUAGUUUUAAUUUCUUUUCUAUUCGUCAUAUUGUAAGAUCAGCUAACGGUCCUGCUCACAUCUGUGCUAAGCAUGCUUGCACAAUUGACGUGACUGAUAGCUGGAUCGAAUGUACUCCGAGCUUUCUGAUCAGCAGCAUGUUGGCGGACUGCUCAGCGAACGCUUUUAUUAAAUAA
rnacentral:rRNA from 1 species